UCUAUAGCGGCGAGGAGAACAUUA
rnacentral:rRNA from 1 species